rnacentral:rRNA from 1 species
AGUGAACGCUGGCGGUAGGCCUAACACAUGCAAGUCGAACGGCAGCACAGUAAGAGCUUGCUCUUAUGGGUGGCGAGUGGCGGACGGGUGAGGAAUACAUCGGAAUCUACCUUUUCGUGGGGGAUAACGUAGGGAAACUUACGCUAAUACCGCAUACGACCUUCGGGUGAAAGCGAGGGACCUUCGGGCCUUGCGCGGAU